UGGUUAGGGCCUUUGUGAAUCAAGGUAACGAUGUAUACCCUUUUUUAAACAAAACAUACAAUAAAAAAAUAAAUAAAAAAUAAAAUAAAAAAAUUCUGCUGCACGAGGAAUGGAGCCUCGGAUCAUACAUAGAGUGACGAACAAUAGUAUUGGAACAGAGAAUUUUUCGCAAGUUCACUGGAGGCCUUGGCAGCUGCUGCAUUUGGCUAAGUAAGCAGCAAUGGUGUAGCAAAAGCUUGGCAUCUUACAAUAUCACCGCCAUUGUUGGUUUCAUUUUAGUUUUCAGCGCAGCUGUUGCGCGAUUUAUCCAAGUUAACCGAUUACAAUUUCACGACAUAGCAUUAUUCAUAAAACGUACGAGGCGAGAAAAAAACGAAAAUGAAUUCAAGCAGAAGGGAGCCACAAAAUUUCAGAGCAAAAUAAAAUCCUUUCAUACGAGGAUUAGAUCAUAGUCUGUAUUCCAGGCAUGAAUAUAUAUGGGGCAUUCUUUGUCAACCAAACUACGCGCAACAUACAUAUGUACAAAAACAAAACCAGGCAGCGUUGGCAAAGCCUGUGCAUUCGAAAGAAUAAAAUCGACGCGUAGAUAUACAUAUAUAAAGCGAAAGAGAAACGAAUUUUUAAAUAUUUAAUAUCAAGUGGUAAACUAUACUAAAACCUAUACAUAGAAAAAAAGUAAAUAAAAAUUAGUAACAAAAAGUCAAAGUAG
rnacentral:misc_RNA from 1 species